rnacentral:SRP_RNA from 1 species
CCGUCGGUUCAGCGCGGUGGCGACCCCUGAACCAGGUCAGGCCGGAAGGAGCAGCCUUAAGGGGUGAUCGUCAGGUGCCGCUGGGUCCCGGCGGGGC